rnacentral:rRNA from 1 species
AACGAACGCUGGCGGCAGGCCUAACACAUGCAAGUCGAGCGCCCUUUCGGGGGAGCGGCGGCCGGGUGAGUACCGCGUGGGAAUAUGCCCUUCUCUACGGAAUAGCCUCGGGAAACUGAGAGUAAUACCGUAUACGCCCUAUGGGGGAAAGAUUUAUCGGGGAAGGAUUAGCCCGCGUUGGAUUAGGUAGUUGGUGGGGUAAUGGCCUACCAAGCCGACGAUCCAUAGCUGGUUUGAGAGGAUGAUCAGCCACACUGGGACUGAGACACGGCCCAGACUCCUACGGGAGGCAGCAGUGGGGAAUCUUAGACAAUGGGGGCAACCCUGAUCUAGCCAUGCCGCGUGAGUGAUGAAGGCCUUAGGGUUGUAAAGCUCUUUCAGCUGGGAAGAUAAUGACGGUACCAGCAGAAGAAGCCCCGGCUAACUCCGUG